GGUGUAGGGUUAAUCCAAAUCUACCUCUGAUAAAAGAUAAACCAUUGAAAAAUAAAAUAUCAAGAACAUUUCUAAAGGUGUUGUCUGCAGAACGAACUCAAUCUAAAAACCAUAAGUCCAGUAUAAGCUGGCUAGAAAAGAAACUGGAAACAUUGUUUGAUGUGUCUGCUUGCCGGUGCGAUCUUCCAAUUAUUGAUGAUUGUCAUGAUAGACGAAUUGGAUGUCGGAAAAGUAAUUGCACAAUGAAACACAUAGUUUGUCUCUAUGAGGAAAGUA